rnacentral:rRNA from 1 species
GAUGAACGCUGACAGAAUGCUUAACACAUGCAAGUCAACUUGAAUUUGGGUUUUUAACUUAAGUUUGGGUGGCGGACGGGUGAGUAACGCGUAAAGAACUUGCCUCACAGCUAGGGACAACAUUUGGAAACGAAUGCUAAUACCUAAUAUUAUGAUAAUAGGGCAUCCUAUAAUUAUGAAAGCUAUAAGCGCUGUGAGAGAGCUUUGCGUCCCAUUAGCUAGUUGGAGAGGUAACUGCUCACCAAGGCGAUGAUGGGUAGCCGGCCUGAGAGGGUGAUCGGCCACAAGGGGACUGAGACACGGCCCUUACUCCUACGGGAGGCAGCAGUGGGGAAUAUUGGACAAUGGACCAAGAGUCUGAUCCAGCAAUUCUGUGUGCACGAUGAAGUUUUUCGGAAUGUAAAGUGCUUUCAGUUGGGAAGAAAGAAAUGACGGUACCAACAGAAGAAGUGACGGCUAAAUACGUGCCAGCAGCCGCGGUAAUACGUAUGUCACGAGCGUUAUCCGGAUUUAUUGGGCGUAAAGCGCGUCUAGAUGGUUAUGUAAGUCUGAUGUGAAAAUGCAGGGCUCAACUCUGUAUUGCGUUGGAAACUGUAUAACUAGAGUACUGGAGAGGUAAGCGGAACUACAAGUGUAGAGGUGAAAUUCGUAUAUAUUUGUAGGAAUGCCGAUGGGGAAGCCAGCUUACUGGACAGAUACUGACGCUGAAGCGCGAAAGCGUGGGGUAGCAAACAGG